rnacentral:rRNA from 1 species
UACGUAGGUGGCAAGCGUUGUCCGGAAUUAUUGGGCGUAAAGCGCGCGCAGGCGGUCCUUUAAGUCUGAUGUGAAAGCCCACGGCUCAACCGUGGAGGGUCAUUGGAAACUGGGGGACUUGAGUACAGAAGAGGAAAGCGGAAUUCCACGUGUAGCGGUGAAAUGCGUAGAGAUGUGGAGGAACACCAGUGGCGAAGGCGGCUUUCUGGUCUGUAACUGACGCUGAGGCGCGAAAGCGUGGGGGAGCAAACAGG